AGAACGAACGCUGGCGGCAGGCUUAACACAUGCAAGUCGAGCGCCCCGCAAGGGGAGCGGCAGACGGGUGAGUAACGCGUGGGAAUCUACCCAAUCCUUCGGAAUAGCUCCGGGAAACUGGAAUUAAUACCGAGUACGCCCUACGGGGGAAAGAUUUAUCGGGGUUGGAUGAGCCCGCGUUGGAUUAGCUAGUUGGUGGGGUAAUGGCCUACCAAGGCGACGAUCCAUAGCUGGUCUGAGAGGAUGAUCAGCCACACUGGGACUGAGACACGGCCCAGACUCCUACGGGAGGCAGCAGUGGGGAAUAUUGGACAAUGGGCGCAAGCCUGAUCCAGCCAUGCCGCGUGAGUGAUGAAGGCCCUAGGGUUGUAAAGCUCUUUCAGUGGGGAAGAUAAUGACGGUACCCACAGAAGAAGCCCCGGCUAACUCGUGCCAGCAGCCGC
rnacentral:rRNA from 1 species